GAUAUUACCCCUCGCCACCACUGACACUGCCAUUCACCACCACAACCACCACUGCCACCUCCAGCCACCAUAAAACUUUAAAAUUAAUGUAUCUACAAAUCUGCCUUAAUGCAAUCAGAUCCAAACCCAGUUCAAAUCGGCGGUGGUGUCGGAUGUGAUCAACGGCGGAGAUGAAGCUCCGGCGGUGGAAGUAGCUAAGAGGGGAUCAGUGGAGAAGGUUUACGUGAAGCGCAAGAAAAGUAAAGUUCAAGUGGAUAGCGGUGGUGUCGGAUGUGAUCAGAUCCAAACCCAGUUCAAAUCGGUUCUUCCUGUUCAAUUUGGGCUUCAAUCAUUCUAAUUUGUAUAAAGAACCCAGUUCAAAUCGGUUCUUCCUGUUCAAAUCGGUGAAUCGGUACACUUUCCGAUAUUGCAAUUGGAAUGUGAACAGGAAGAUACAGAUAUAGAGACAGAGAGAGUAUAUGUAUAGGUGGAGAGUGAAGCCCAAAUUAGAA